rnacentral:rRNA from 1 species
UCGGGAAUAUUGCGCAAUGGAGGAAACUCUGACGCAGUGACGCCGCGUAUAGGAAGAAGGUCUUCGGAUUGUAAACUAUUGUCGUUAGGGAAGAGAAAGGACAGUACCUAAGGAGGAAGCUCCGGCUAACUACGUGCCAGCAGCCGCGGUAAUACGUAGGGAGCGAGCGUUAUCCGGAUUUAUUGGGUGUAAAGGGUGCGUAGACGGGAAAAUAAGUUAGUUGUGAAAUCCCUCGGCUUAACUGAGGAACUGCAACUAAAACUAUUUUUCUUGAGUGCAGGAGAGGAAAGUGGAAUUCCUAGUGUAGCGGUGAAAUGCGUAGAUAUUAGGAGGAACACCAGUGGCGAAGGCGACUUUCUGGACUGUAACUGACGUUGAGGCACGAAAGUGUGGGGAGCAAACAGG